rnacentral:rRNA from 1 species
GAUGAACGCUGGCGGCGUGCUUAACACAUGCAAGUCGAACGGAAAGGCUCCUGCUUGCAGGGGUACUCGAGUGGCGAACGGGUGAGUAACACGUGGGUGAUCUGCCCUGCACUUCGGGAUAAGCCUGGGAAACUGGGUCUAAUACCGGAUAGGACGAUGGUUUGGAUGCCAUUGUGGAAAGUUUUUCGGUGUGGGAUGAGCUCGCGGCCUAUCAGCUUGUUGGUGGGGUAAUGGCCUACCAAGGCGUCGACGGGUAGCCGGCCUGAGCGGGUGUACGGCCACAUUGGGACUGAGAUACGGCCCAGACUCCUACGGGAGGCAGCAGUGGGGAAUAUUGCACAAUGGGCGCAAGCCUGAUGCAGCGACGCCGCGUGGGGGAUGACGGCCUUCGGGUUGUAAACUCCUUUCGCUAGGGACGAAGCGCAAGUGACGGUACCUGGAGAAGAAGCACCGGCUAACUACGUG